rnacentral:tRNA from 2 species
GAGCCACUUAGAUAUGAUAAUCAACUCGUAAGGCUUUUGUUUUUCUUUUAAGCAGGGUGUCCCGGGUUCGAUUCCCGGGUGGCUCACCA